rnacentral:rRNA from 1 species
CCUACGGGAGGCAGCAGUGGGGAAUAUUGGACAAUGGGCGAAAGCCUGAUCCAGCCAUGCCGCGUGUGUGAAGAAGGUCUUCGGAUUGUAAAGCACUUUAAGUUGGGAGGAAGGGCAGUUACCUAAUACGUGAUUGUUUGACGUACCGAC